rnacentral:rRNA from 1 species
UACGUAGGGGGCGAGCGUUAUCCGGAAUUACUGGGCGUAAAGCGCACGCAGGCGGUUCGCCAAGUUUGGAGUGACAGUUGUCGGCUCAACCGACAAAGGACUUCAAAAACUGGUGAACUUGAGGACGAGAGAGGAACAUGGAACUCCAGGUGUAGUAGUGAAAUGCGUAGAUAUCUGGAAGAACACCAAUGGCGAAGGCAAUGUUCUGGCUCGUUUCUGACGCUCAGGUGCGAAAGCCAGGGGAGCAAACAGG